rnacentral:lncRNA from 1 species
UUUUUUUUUUUCUCAACUUUCCAAUAUUCCUAACAUUCCAGAGGUUCAGAAUCCUAUCAACAUGCGGGUCCAAAAAAAUAUAAAUGCACAGAUCACAAGUAGGAUACAUCUAGAUGGCCUUUUCCAUUUCAGGUUGCUUAUCCUAGAUGGACCCAACCCCUGUGUUGAGUCCCCUAAGUCAAUAAUGCUGAUGAUGAAAAUAAGCGUUCUUACUAGGGAUCUGACAUAAAGUUGAGUUAUUCUAGGUUCAGAACCUGGAUGUUUGGUCUAGACCGGGCUUACCCGAGCAGACUGCUCAAGCCGAAGGGGAGGCAGCGUGCCGGGAAUAUAGAUGCUUCUUCGACUUUGCAACUUAUCCAAACCUCGUUCUAAAUUGGGAAUUAGACACUAUACAGAAAAGAAGUCACACGAAGAGCACCCUUCUUCAUGAUCUAGAAGACUUAGAGAGGAGAUGGGUUUCGGCACAAUUUAUAGACAGUUCGCAAAAUAUCAAAGUGGUAAAAGCAGUCAAUUAGCACAUUAGGCACAGAUCAAGUAACAAAAUCAGAUAAAGACAAACACAACAAUUUUUCUAAGAUCGAAUUCUGAACCCUGAACAAAACGUUCUGGAUUCUUUUCCCAGUAUAGUCUCUAAAGCUGUCACACCUCCGUUUUUACUACACCCACAAGGGUGUAAAAGAGUUUUUCCAAUUAAAGGACAACCAGAACGGGAUUUAUUAUUAAACUUUUAGAGUCGCCACUUGGGAGAUUAAUGGUGUCUCAAGUCAGUGGUUGAAUCCUGAACCAAGGAAAAUAUGACACUAUUUAACAGUCUGCGAGCCAGAAAUCUGAGUAAGGAAUUUUGUUAACCUGGGAGAAGGUGUUAGGCAUUCCCGACUUCCAUGAUUCUAGCACGGUCGCUCAACUGCCAUGUUUAGCAUACUUAUCCGAAUUUAUUAAAUGAUGAACCUAUGUGCCGAUUUUACUUUUAAACAGCUUUUAUUAAAUUUUUAAAGAAAAUUUAAACAUCGUUUAAAAUGUGUCUUUGGAUCGCUUCACAUGAAAUGCACCCGCAAUCCUGAACAGAUUUUAUUCAACGUUUUGGGAUUUUAUAUGGCUCACAUGAAAUGCACAGCCGAGCAUAGGAAAGUAAUAUUAUUUGAUAUGCGCAUAAAGCAACUAUACGUCUGCACUUGGCGAGGGCCAUGGAAUUUGCUAAAUAGCACGCCUAAGAUUUUUAAGUAUUUUAAGCGUAUACUAUGGUCCCAUCAAUUUAUAUUUUAUUUUAGAAGGGCAAAUCCAAAAACAACUAUAUUUUCAAUUUUUUGUCUCAAAAAGGAAUAAACGGAUCCUAAUUAAUCAAAAAUAAAGUUUGAGCCCAAAUCAAAGAAAGGAACUUUUAAUUUGAACCUGCUGCUUAACUCAAAACCCAAACUUGUCAUUGAAAAAUAAACCAAAUAGGUGAGAAUUCCUACUGGAAUUGAUUCCAAAUGGGUACAAAGGUACCAAGCCUUAAGUGACAAACUUCUAAGUCCAUUUAUUUGUCUAUUGACUUUGAAUUAAAUCCUCAAGUAUUAUCAAUAUGAAAAUCCAGUUGGAGCGUGAUUCACAAAUACAAAUAGGGCAGUUGUUUUCAAAUCAAGCCACAUAAAUCCUUGCAAUUAUAUAAACGUGAUGAUGGUAUUACAUCCUACUACUCACGUAAGCAUACAAGUUUCUCUUAUUUACGAAAUUCUUUCAAUCCAUUAUGAAACUAAAUAUUUCUAAGUGCACAACGGCCUAUUAAUAGCAUAACAGGCUGAUGCUUUCAAUACCCUUUUCUAGCCAUGGUGGACACUAGAAUUCAAUUGAAACUAUAAGGUCCAGAACUCAGCAUAUCCAAAAUCAGUGUCCCUGUUUAUAUAGCCUAAUCACUCUGAUAAUGAUAACAAACUAAACCAGUCCCAGACAAAUUACCAAUCCUAUUUAUACAACCUUGUAACUACAAAAAUUACACAUGCCUGUGUAAUAUCGAUAUAACUAUAACAAAAUUAAUCACAAACUAGAAAUCAACAAGAGGUGGUCGUUAACAUCUAAUACCCACAAAACUUCUUUAUUUCUCCUUCCAGCUCACAAUCACAUUGCAAUGGGUUCAAAGUGGUACCUGGUUUUGAGUUACAACAGAAGAAUAACAGAGUCAGCAGUAGAAGGUGAACAGCGGUAGUAGCAGUAGGCAAGUUUUAGCAGUACAAAACAACACACCAGCCAAAGAAUGAGUCCAGAAAUCCCCGGAAGGUUGAGAACUCAAAUGAAUUUAGUAAAUUGAACCAAAACAACCCAAAAUGCACUCAGUCACACCAGCAAAACAUCAACACCUUUCCACAGCCCCAAAUCUCAUUCAAAACCAAUCUAGUUAAACUUAAAAUUACUCAGAAUCAAACCAGCAACCCUUCUGAACAUCAAUAAUCAAAUAGUGGACUGGAUGAUGUGAAUUAACAACUAGAACAUCAAAAUUAACCUACAAAUUACCAAUGAAACUAUGACUUUUUUUUGUUUUUCGUUUUAAGUUUUUUGUUGUUUUUUCGGUUUUGAAGUAUUAGAUCUAAGAUUUUGAUUUUAAAAUUAAAAUCUUGAAAUCAGAUGUCCAGAGACUGGAUUUUGGGGUCAAUUUUUGUGUGAUCUCCCCCUUCCAUAAGGCAGUGGUCAUGUCUUUUAUAGGCAAGGAUGAGGGCAUCUUCAGAUUUUCCUUUUCUUAUUUAGUCCCUGCGUAUUUUCAGUUCAGUCCAUUAGUUUUUAACCUAUUCUGCAAGCUAACACCCAUUUUUACUGCUAUUCCCCUACAACCUCAACCUAGAAGCUUCUAGGCGAUACUCAAUUUAGUCCACACAUGAAAUCCCUAAAUUAACCCUUUACUAUCCCAAAAUGCUGUAAAUAACUCCCAAAACACAAAAUCCCACGGGCUACACAGGCAAUAGAAGAACAUACGAUGCUCUAAUCACAAGAAUAAACAAAUACAAGAAGAACUGAAUAACAACUAGCUAACUAUAGGUAGAAUGAGAGGGAGACUCUUCGGUUCUGCGGACGCGGAAGAUUCAUACCUCAAGUCUCCGAGCAUAGCUCUUAUAUCACUGAUAGUGCGCCCCAUAAGAAUUACUUGGAGCUGCACAUGAAAAACAUGCGCAGAAGAGGCAUGAUUACACCACUGCGGUACUCAGUAAGUGCCUAGCCAAAGCUCGGUUGAGUAGUGAAGAGGAAGGUUAGGGUCCUACUAAGAAUUAAUAUGAUAAAAAUAAUGAACAGUGUAAGGCAUAGAAUAAUAAGGAAAAACAAUAAUAAAAAAAGGAUAGAAGCUGCAAGUGAAUAAAAAUUAAGCUAGGUAAGGAAAAUAACACAACCAAGUAUUACUUAAUAUCAGGGUGCCAUGUGAACCUCCCAGGAUACCGACCUGUAGUCUUUUUUCCUCAACUAUCCUGUGGACUUCUCGGGAAUCUAACCCGUAGUCCAUCGGAUUUGAAUAUCUGGAAGAUCUCCCAGGAAUCUAACAUGUAGUCCAUCACAUGAGGAUCUCCCGAGAAUCGAACCAGUAGUCAAUCAUAUCAAUAUCUGGAGGAUCUCCCGAGUAUCAAACCCGUGGUCCAUCAUAUCAAUACCUUGAAGGAUCUCCCGGGAAUCGAACCCGUAGUCCAUCAUAUCAAUGCGCAGCAUUGGGGGAAUCUGCCGGCUGCAUUGCCGUAGUACCAUAUAAUUGUGCAGGGAAUCUCCUGGGACUCGAACCCGUAGUCCCAAUUUAAAUGCGCAACCGCAACCAAGAAUUUACAGGAAAAAUCAAAUAUGGAACAAUAGCAUAUAGGAAUGACUAAACUAACAUGAUUCACGUAGAACAACUUAGGCAAAUAAGCAUGUAAGAAAUUAAUUCUAUCUAAUCAUAUUUUUCUAACUAUAACAGAUUAAAUCUUGUGUUGAACCCAGCCAAAUAAAAUGGAGAAACACAAUUUAGAUAAUUCAAGUAACGUCGAAUUUUUCCAAUAAUUAGCACAAGUACACGCUCGUAACCUCGCGUACAAGGCUUUUAAUUCAGCAAAUCAGAAGUCCUAAGGGGAGAGGUCACCCACACAAGGUUAGAUAAGAGACUUACCUCGAACCAGUACAAAAAUCACUAUGAAACGAUGCCCUUGCCACGAGUAUCCGACUCCGUGUAGCCCUAAUCAAUUCAAACCAAUUACAUAUUGUAAAUAACAUUGCAAGUCACCAAUUCCACUAUUAAAAUUAAAGCUACGGCGUGAAAAUGGGCAAAAUGACCAAAACUCCUCUCAGGCCAAUAUCUAAGAAUCGAAUAAUUUUUACAUUUUCGGAAACCUCAUACUCUCACGAGUCUAACCAUAUAAAAAUCACCCAAAUAGGAGGUCAAAUUCCCCCUCAAAUCCUCACAAUUAGGGGUAAGAACUUUACCACAAUUUUUCAUUCAAAAUCCAAAAUUAAAGGUUGCAUUUAAGGUUUGAUUAGUGGGUAUAAAUCAUAGAGGAGUAAGGAAUCAUUACCUAUCGUUGCCUGUGAAGAUCCCUCGAAAGAUCUCUCUAAUCCGAGCUCUCUAACUUGAGUUUUGUUAAAAAUGGAAGAACCCUCAUUUUUAAAUGUUUAUAUUUGUCCAGGCCCUUUGUUCAAUGCGAUAGCAUGAAAUGCAAUGCGAUCGCGUAGAGUAAACUUUGAGGGCCCAGAAAAUGGUCUAUGCAAACGCAUGGAAAAGGCUACAAUCGCGGAACAGGAAAAGGAAGAACUAUGCGAUCACGUAAGGGGUCCUACGAUCGCAUAGAGGAAAAGCACCUCUGGGCCACCAGGUCCAAUUGCUCAGUGCGAACGCGGAAGGAGAUGUGCGAAUGCAGAGAAGGACGAAUCAGAACUAUGCUAUCACAUUCAAGUACCUACGAUCGCAUUGAAGGAAAUAAGGUCCCCCACAAAAUGCACUAUGCGAUCGCAUGGAUACUUAUGCGAUUGCAGAGAAGAAAGGCUCUGCAACAACACAACAGAAAUUCGGCAACUCUUCACGUCCCAAAAAUGCUCCGUUCAGCAUCCAAAACACACCCGAGGUCCCCGAGACCUCAACCAAACCUACGAAUAUAUCCUAUUCCAUCAUUCAAACUUGUACCAAUCCAUAAAGAACCUUAAACAACAUCGAAAACUUGAAUUAACCAAUGAUUUGAACCUAUGAACUCCAAAAUUCAACCGAACUCGCUUUCGAUCAAAAACCUAACCAGAAAAAGUCCGAUUGACCUUAAAUUUUGCAUGCACGGCCCAAAUGAAAUGACGGUCCUAAAGAAACUUCUGAAAUCUCAUUCCGACACUCAUGUCAAAAAUUCACUAUCGCACCAAAAACCUCCAAAUUUUAACUUUCGACAUUUCUAGCCUAAAUGAGCUACGGACAUCCAAAAUACGUUCUGAACAUGCUCCCAACCCUGAAAUCACCUAACGAAGCUAACGAAACCAUCAAAUUCCCAUUUUAAGGUCAUCUUCAUACUGUUUAGAUUACAGAGCACUUUCUAACAGAUAAGCUCUCAUUUAGGGACUAAGUGUCACAAAACAAAUUCUAACACCAAAUGUCCUGGCAAACCAAACUAGUUGAAGUGGAUUUAGGGGCAGCAGUUAAUGGGGAAACAGGGCUUAAAUUCCGAAGACGACCGGCCGGGUCGUCACAUCCUCCUACACUUAAACAUUUGUUCGUCCUCGAACGAGCAUAGAGAACAUACCUGAAGUAGAAAAAAGAUGAGGGUAUUGGCUGCGCAUAUCCCGCUCGGUCUCCUAAGUCGCCUCCUUGACCGACUGACCCCGCUACUAAACCUUUACUGAUGCUAUCUCCUUUUACCUUAGCUUUCGGACCUUCUUAUCCAAUUUCGUCAUUAGCUCCUCAACAUAUGACAAGUCAUUGACCAACUGGACUGAAGCGAAUUCCAACAGUCGAGACAUGAAAUGCCGGAUGAACCCCGGAAAAAUUUGGAGGCAAAGCAAGCUCAUAAGCAACCUCUCAUACUCGCUUCAAAACAUCAAAAGAGCCAUUGAACCUCGGACUCAACUUUCCUUUCUUCCCAAACCUCAUGAUGCCUUUCAUACGUGAGACCCGAACCAAAACCAGCUCACCAACCAUAAAGGGAACAUCAACAACCUUCCGGUUUGUGUAACUCUUCUUUGUGGACUGGGCCGUACAAAGUCUAUCCUGAAUUACCUUAACCUUCUCUACCGCAUCCUGGACCAACUCAGUUCCCAAAAGCCUGGCCUCAUCCGGCUCGAACUAACCCACGGGGCAUCUGAAUCUCCUACCAUAUGAGGCCUCAUACGUCGCCAUCUGGAUGCAGAACUGAUAACUGUUAUUGUACGCAAACUCAGCCAAUGGCAAAAUCUGAUCCUAACGCCCUUUAAAGUCGAUCACGCACACAUGGAGCAUAUUCUCUAGAAUAUGAAUGGUACGCCUAGACUUUCUGUCCAUCUGAGGGUGAAAAGUUAUGGUCAUAGUCACCUAGGUUCCCAACUCCUAGUGGACGACUCUCCAGAACAGUGAUGUAAACGCUAAAACCCUAUCUGAGAUGAUAGAAACUGGAAUGUCGUGCACACGGACAAUCUCCCUGAUAUAAAUCCCCGCUACCCGCUCUACUGAGUAAGUAGUACACACUGGAAUGAAAUUAGCGGACUUAGUCAGCCAAUUCACAACAACCCAAAUCGAAUCAAAUUUCUUUGCAGUCAGGGAGACCGGGUAAGUCCAUAGUGAUCUUCUCGCAUUUCCACUCUGGAAUCUCCAUCUGCUAGAGUAGCCCUCCCGGUCUCUAGUGCUCAGCCUUUACCUGCUGAUAGUUGAGGCAUCUAUCUACAAACUCUGCUAUAUCCUUCUUCAUUUGCCUCCACCAGUAAUGAUCCUGAUACAUCUUCACAGCAUCCGGAUGGAUGGAGUACUACGACCUAUAGGCCUCUGUAAAUAUCAACUCCCAAAUAUCAUCAAUAUCGGGUACACAAAUCCGACCCAGCAUCCUCAAUACCUCAUCAUCUACAAUUGUCACAUCUCUAGCAUCACCAUGCUAAACUGUGCCCCUGAGGACAAGCAAAUUAGGGUCAUCAUACUAUCACUCUCUGAUACGAUCAAAUAAUGAAGACCAAGAAACCACACAGGCUGGAACCCGACUGGGCUCUGAAAGGUCCAAUCUCACAAACUGAUUGGCUAAGGCCUGAACAUCCAUCGCCAUAGGUCUCUCUAAAGAUGGUAAAUAUGCCAAAUUCCCCAAACUCUCCGCCCGACGACUAAAGUCAUCGGCUACCACAUUGACCUUCCCGGGUGAUAAAGAAAAAUUAUAUCAUAAUCUUUCAGUAGCUCCAACCAUCUUCUCUAGCGCAAGUUCAUAUCCUUCUGCUUGAACAAGUGUUGUAAACUCCGAUGAUUCGUGUAAAUCUCAAAAGGCACGCCGUACAAAUAAUGAUUCCAGAUCUUCAAGGCAUGAACAAUAGCAGCUAACUCAAGGUCAUGGACAGGAUAGUUCUUUUCAUGUACCUUCAACUAUCUGGACUGGUAAGAAAUCAUCCUACUGUCCUGCAUCAGCACCACUCCAACUCCGACUCGUGAGGCAUCACAAUAAACUGUAUAGGACCCGAACCAGUAGGCAAAAUAAGAAUAGGGGCUGAUGUCAAAGCCGUCUUGAGUUGCUAAUAGAUCGCCUCGCACUAGUCUCUCCACUUAAAGGGAGCGCCCUUCUGGGUCAAUCUAGUCAUUGGGGCUACAAUUUAUGAGAACCCCUCCAGAAAAUGACGGUAAUACCCCGCUAGGCCAAAGAAACUACAGAUGUUUGUAGCUGAGAAAGGCCUGGGCCAACUCUGCACAGCCUCCACCUUCUUCGGAUCUACCCAAAGGCCCUCACUCGAUACCAUGUGGCCUAGGAAUGCCACAGAACUCAACCAAAACUCACAUUUUGAGAACUUUACAUAUAACUUGUUUUCUCUCAGGACCUGAAGCACUAUCCUCAGUGCUUCUCACGAUCUUUCCGACUCCGGGAGUAUACAAGAAUAUCAUCUAUGAAAAUAAUGACAAACGAGUCAAGUUAGGGCCUGAAUACAUUGUGCAUCAAAUGCAUAAAAGCUGCUAGGGUGUUGGUCAGCCCAAAUAACAUGAAAAGUAACUCGUAAUGACCAUACCGAGUCCUUAAUGCAGUCUUCGUAAUAUCCGGCUCCUGAAUCUUUAGCUGGUGAUAACAUAAGCACAAAUCAAUCUAAGAAAACACAUGUGCGUCCUGAAGCUGGUCAAACAGAUCACCGAUACGAGGCAAAUGAUAUUGGUUCUUCACUGUAACCUUGGUAAGCUGAUGAUAAUCGAUACACAUGCGCAUAGAACAAUUAUUAUUCUUUACGAACAAGAUAGGAGAACCCCACGCUGAAACACUGAGUCGAAUAAAACCUUAUCAAGAAAUUCUUGUAACUGAUCCUUCAACUCCUUCAACUCAGGAGGAGCCAUAUGGUAAGGAGGAAUGGAUAUAGGCUGAGUGCCCGACCACAAAUCAAUAACAAAAUUAAUGUCCCGAUCGGGCAGCAUACCCGGAAUAUCAGCUGGAAACGCAUCGGAUAAUCACGUCGCACUAGGACAGAGUCAAUAGUAUGGGUAUCUGAACUGACAUCUCUUACAUAAGCUAGAUACGCGGCACACUCCUUCUCAACCAUACGCUGAGCUUUAAGAAAAGAUAUAGCUCUACCGGGAGUGUGAUCAAAAGUACCACUCCACUCAAUGCGUGAAUUACCUGGAAUAGCCAGUAUCAUGAUCUUAGCGUGACAAUCAAGAAUAGCAUACUGGGGCGACAACCAGUCCAUGCCCAAGAUAACAUCAAAAUCAACCAUAUCGAGUAAUAAAAGAUCUGCCCUGUUCUCAAAACCAUGAAUAGUAACCAAACAUGACCGAUAUACGUGGUCCACGACAAAGGAAUCUCCCACGGGAGUAGAAACAUAAACAAGAAUGCUCAAGGCCUCUCGGGCUACACCCAAAUACGGAGUAAAAUAAGAAGACACGUAAGAAUAGGUAGAGCCUGGAUCGAAUAGAACUAAUGCCUCUCUGGGAUUAACCAAUAUAAUACCUGUGAUAACAGAAUCGUAGGCGACUGCCUCAGCACGAUCAGGAAUAGCAUAAAAUCUGGCCCGGCCCCUCCCUCGAGGCCGGCCUCUAUCUCCCUGAUCUCUGCCCCUGGCUUGCUGAGCAGGUGGGGUGGCAUCUGGAGCUGGAGCUGGAACGAUGGCCUGCUGACCCUGUGGAGCAUGCUGAGGCUGUGGAGUCUGCGAAGGCGCACCCCUCCCACGCUUGGGGAACUACCUAACCAUGUGGCAAGUAUCCCUGCACUCAUAACAAGCUCUGUGAGGGUGUUGUGGUUGUUACCGACUAGGUCCACCCCUGCUAGACUGACCUCUGGAAGUACCCCGUGCAGGAGGCACACUAGAAACCGGAGGUGCAUAAUAAAGCUCCUGAAAUCUGGGAUGAGCUGGAGUACUGCUGGAUGAAGGAGGAGCUAAGUGAACUGGGCGACCCAUAUAGCCCCUACCAUGACAUCCUGCUGCUAAUGUACGGCUACUAGAGUAAUGACCCAACUUCCGAGACCAUUUAGCCUCUCUCUCCUCUCGCUCUCAGGCGUGCAUAUCUUUUAUUCUCCUAGCUAUGCUCACUACCUGCUGAUAUGGUAUAUCCAUCUAAAACUCUCGAGCCAUGCCAGACAUGAUGGGAGGAAUAAGUCCCUCAAUAAACCGGCGAACACUCUUACGACCAGUAGCCACCAAAGCCGGUGCCUGUCUGGGCAAUCUAGUAUAACGGAAGGCAUAGUCGGAGACAGUCAUAGGUUAUUGGUGCAAAUGCUCAAACUCCAUACGCCAUGCAUCUCGGAGGCUCUGGGAACAAACUCCCUCUGAAAAAUAAUUGAAAACUGUGUCCAUGUCAUGGAGGCAGCCUCUUCCAGACUGCCUAACUCGAAGGUGCGCCACAAAUCAUUGGCGGCUACCCAAAGCUGGAAAGCUGCAAAAGAAACUCGGCUUAAAGCAGUAAUAUCCAUGGAUAGAAAGAUGCGAUGACGAUCCUCCAACAAACCCAAAGCAUAAUCUGUAGAUAGUCCGCUGAAAACAGGAGGGUCAUACUUCUUGAACCUCUCCAUUCUACACUGCUCGUCUUCAGAAGCAGGUGCCCCAUCCUUGGGCUAAACCGGUACGGCAAGCUGGACGGGAAUAAUAUCUGAAAUCUAUCCCAUAGGCACUCUCUACUCGAGAGUGCAAGCUGCGGGAAUCUAGGCUUCUACCCCGCCCUGGGACGUGGCUACAAGAAGUGGAAGCAACCCUGCCUAUGACAACAUUGUAUACAUGCUCAAAAACUGUGCCAAUACCCUAAAUAGCUUGAGUAGUGGUUGUUGUGGCCGUGUCAGGUGCCUGAAUCCAGACUGGAUCCGCUGGUGGUACCUCGGUGGUAGCUCGCGUAGGUGCCCUGCCCCGGCCCCUUCCUCUAGCAAUUGCAGGAGGGGGUGCGGGUGCCUGAUCAUCAUGGGUCGUGCGUUUCCUCACCAUAUGUGAAAGAAUAGGAAAUAGAAGUUUAGAGUCGAUGUCAAAAUAUAGCACGACAAGGAAUUCAAUGAAAUGAAGAUUUUUCCUAAGUAGUUACAUAGCUUCCCGUAGAUAAGUACAGACGUCUCUGUACCGAUCAAGGAGACUCUAACAAAUCGGCAUGUGUCCUGUGACUCCUAUGAACCUAGAGCUCCGAUACCAACUUGCCACGACCCUAGUUCACCAAUUGUGAACAUGUCAUGAAGGCACCUAGUCUUCGUGACUAGGUAAGACUAACAUGUUGCGGAAUAUACAAUCUUUACGAAAAAUAAUCACAGAAUACCGAAUAACAUACUGAAAUGUAAAGAGUUUAUGCCUAGCACAAUACACUGAAAUACCAAAAUGUUGUAAAUAACUCCCAAAACCCGGAAUCCCACGGACAAGACAGGCUAUAGAAGAACAUACGAUGCUCUAAUCACCAGAAUAAUCUAAUACAAGAAGAACAGAAUAGCAACUAGGUAACUAUAGGUAGUAUGAGAUGGAGACUCUUCGAAUCUGCGGACACAGCAGAUGCAUACCUCAAGUCUCCGAAUAUGGUUCCUAGAUCACUAAUAGUGUGCCCGACCAGAAGUACCUGGAUAUGCACAUGAAAAACAUGUGCAGAAGAGGCAUGAGUACACCACAGUGGUAAUCAGUAAGUGCUAAGCCUAACCUUAGUUGAGUAGUGACGAGGAAGGUCAAGGCCCUACUGAGAAUAAACAUGAUAACAAUAAUGAACAGUGUAAGGCAUAAAAUAAUCAGGAAAAACAACGACAAAAAUAGGAUAGAAGCUACAAAUAAAUGACAAUUAAGCUAGGUAAGGAAAAUAACACAACCAUGUAUCAAUCAAUAUCAUAAUGCUAAAUUUUGAAAUGCUUGGAAUUUCCUCCUCAAAUCCUCAAAAUUAUAUCUAAUAACUUUAUCACAAUUUUUCAUUCAGAAUAUAAAAUUAAAGGAUGAAUUUGAGGUUAGAUUAGUGGGUAUUAAUCAUAGAGGAGUAAGGAAUAAUUACACAAUCGUCCUCCUCAAAUCCUCAAAAUUAUAUCUAAUAACUUUAUCACAAUUUUUCAUUCAGAAUAUAAAAUUAAAGGAUGAAUUUGAGGUUAGAUUAGUGGGUAUUAAUCAUAGAGGAGUAAGGAAUAAUUACACAAUCGUUGCCUCCGAAAAGCUCUCGAAAAAUCUCUCAAAUCCGAGCUCUCUAGCUUGAGUUUUGUUAAAAAUGGAAGAACCCUCAUUUUGAAAUUUUUAUAUCUGCUCAGGCCCUUUGUUCGAUGUGAUCGCAUAGAGUAAGAGUUGAGAGCCCGAAAAAUGGUCUAUGGGAAUGCAUGGAAAAGGCUGCGAUCGCGGAACGGGAAAAGGCAGAACUAUGCGAUCGCGUAAGGGAUCCUGCGAUUGCAUAGAGGAAAUGGACCUUUAGGCCACCAGCUCGAAUUGCUUAGUGCUAACACGGAAGGAGAUAUGAGAACAUAGAGAAGGAGGGAGCGGAACAAUGCGAUCGCAUUCAAGGACUAGCGAUCGAAUUCAAGAAAAUAAGGCCCCAAACAAAAUGCACUAUGCGAUAGCAUCGAUACAUAUGCGAUCACAAUAAAGAAAGGUCCUACAACAACAGAACAGAAAUUCUACAAUUCUUCUCGUCCCAAAAAUGCUCCGUUGAGCAUCCGAAACACACUCAAGGCCCCCGGGACCUCAACCAAACAUACGGACAUAUCCCAAAACAUCAUUCUAUUUUGUAUUAACCCUUAAACCACCUAAAACAAUGCUAAAAACUCGAACUAAUUAAUGAUUUGAACUUAAGAACUCCAAAACUCAACCAAACUCGAUUUUGAACAAAAACCUAACUAAACGAAGUCUGAUUGACCUGAUAUUUUGCACGCACGUACUAAAUGACAUGACGGUGCUACAACAACUUUGAGAAUCCCAUUUUGACCCUCAGGUCAAAAAUUCACUACCGGACAGAAAACCUCCAAAUUCUUACUUUUGGCAUUUCAAGCCUACACGAGCUACGGACAUCCAAAAUACGUUCGAACACACUCCCAACCCCGAAAUCACCUAACAGAGCUAACAACCAUCAGAUUCGUAUUCCAAGUUUAUCUUGACACUGUUCUGAUUACGGACCACUUUCCAACACUUAAGUUGUGACGACCCAAAGGGUCAUCACCAUAAUUCUCCCUUUCUUUGUUCUUCCAAGGCCUUGAAAACCUCUUAUUUGGUCGCCUCGAUUUGCAUGUGUAGUUCGAUCGCGAAGCCGAAAAUUUUCUAUGUGGAAAUAUAUGAAAUUAUGUGUUAAAAACUAUGAAUUAUGAUUAUAAUAUUGACAUAGUUUACUUUAGACAAUAUUUUGGGUAAACAGACCCGGGUUGGUGAUGUGAUAAUCUCCAAGGGUCCAUAGAGAAAUAUGGGAGCGUAUUCACGGAAUCGAAAUCCGAGGUCCUAGGCCCGAGUACGGAAUUAUUGAAAGAAAUUGUUAUCUGGAAAUGAUAUGAAAAAAAUUGAAAUGAAAAUGAGUUAGAAAAUGUAGGUAUCAAGCUCGUAUAAUUCCGAUGCCCCAUACAGGUCUUAAAUGAGCGUUAAGCUCUUUCUGUGAAGUUUGGUUGAAAACGGACGUCAUUUGACUUGUUUCGGACUAAAAAUGGAAAUUUUGGAAGUUAUGAAAUUUGAAAUGAAAAUCAUGUGUUUUGAGGUUUGAUUCUAUGUAAAUGAUGUUAUUUUGGUGAUUCGGUCGCACGGGUAAGUCCGUAGGAUGUUCUUGAGUUAGUAUGCAUGUCGUGUUUGGAGACCCGAGGGCUCAGGUGAGUUUUGAUGAGGUCCGUGAGGUAUUACGCUUAACGAAAAGCAGGUUCAAGUAUUUCAGAUACCAGCACAGCCGCGACCAUUUCUGUGCGGUCCGCAUUGGAGCCACGCAGCCGCGAAGCACUUCUGUGCGGUCCGCAUGGCAAAAUCGUGCUAAGUGCUGGUUAACCUGUGCGGCCGCACACCAAAACAGUGCGGUCCGUGCUGGUUGGGUUCUAAAGAGCCCCAAUUUCAAUUCCAUUCGACACGGUCGCAUUACAUUUUUUCGCAGUCCGCGUCCGUUCAUCGGGGAGGUAUAAAAAGUAGAAAAUUUCAGCCAUAUUUCCACUUUUCAAAAACCCAAAACCUAAGGAGUGAUUUUCCAAAAAACUUUUCUUCUCCAAAACAAUUUGUAAAUCAUUUCUAACAUAAUUUUCCUACUCCUUAGCAUAUUUAAACAUAAUUUCAACUUCAAUCAAAGGUUUUCACAAAUGAGAAUUUGGGAUUUGGGGUAGAACCUAGAUUUUCUUAAAAUUGGGGAUUUGGACCUCAAUUUGGGGUCCGAUUUCAAAACAAAUUACAUAUAUGAACUCGUGGGGAAAUGGGUACCCCAGUAUUGGUUUGAUCCUCGGGUUUUGACCACGUAAGCCUGGGGCAGUUUUGGAAUAUUUGGUUAAAACUUAGGUACAUUCAUUCUUAUGCAUUCACAUUGUUUUAACUAGCAUUUGUUGAUACCUUUGAGUAACUUGUGAUUAUAUUCGACAGGUUUUGUGGGGAAUUCGAGGGGUAAAGCUAUCCUAGGGGCGGGAGUUGAGUUUGGAGCUAUCAAGGUAAGUGCUUGAUCUAACUUUGGUUUGAGGGAAUGGGAUUAGAGUGUUUGAUUGCUAAUUGCUAAAUGAUCGAGUACGGUGUAUAGGCAUGGUGACGAGUAUCUAUACAUCGAAUUCUAGUAUGACUGUAAGUCCUAAAUGCUUUUGAGUCGGAAGAUAUAAUAUAGUUGUCUUGUUAAGUUGAUAGUUCCAUGUAAAGUAUUGGUUAAGAACGAAAUGAAUUAAAAGAGUUUGUGAAGCAAUGGUUCCCUUGCCGGGACGAGUAGGCUGUUACUAUUAAAUUCUCCCUUGUCGGGAUAUUUUGGGAUGUUAGCUGUACCGUUGCCGCAUUUAGUUUUUAUAUUGCUGUUCUUCCCUAAUGGCACCUCCCUUGAGAAGAUUAUUCGAGAUAAUCUAUUAUAAUAUGGGUUCGUGUGGCGAGCCUUCCACUUAUAUAUUACAUUACGGGAUCAUGUGUUGCGUCGUCCACUUAUCGUUAUUGGCUUGAGAGGCUGAUGACAUUGUGCGCGGAGAAUACGGGAUUAUGUGGCGCGCCAUCCACUUAUAUAUUACAUUACGGAAUCAUGUGGCACGUCAUCCACCUAUAUAUUACAUUACGGGAUCAUGUGGCGUUUCGUCCACCUAUAUAUUACAUUAUGGGAUUUUUUGGCUCGCGGUCCACUUAUAUAUUACAAUACAGAUCGUGUGGCACGCCGACCACUUAGACUAUACAUAAUAGGGUCGUGUGGCACGCAAUCCACUGUAGAUAUGGGUAUCACAAAAACUCGGGAUAGAUUUGUUGUUGUUUCUGAUGUUUCAUUUUCAUAUAGUAUUUCCCGAUAUCAUGUCGCCUCUCAGCUUUAAUUGUAUUAUUUUGUUAUUGUUUCUUUCCCGUACUUGUAUAUCAUAUUUGCACAGGUUAAUUGUAGUAGGUCCUAUCUAGCCUUAUCACUACUUCGCCGGGGUUAGGUCAGGCAUUUACCAGCCCAUGGGGUCGGUUGUGUUGAUGCUAUGCUUCUGUGCCCUUUUGUGCAUAGGUCAGGAGACAGCUUACGGGCCACAGCAGUAGCUUAGGAGCACGCCUUCAGUCCAGAGACUCCUAGGUAGUUCACUGGUGUUCACAGGCCCUAAGUCUCUUCUUUUUAAUUUUUGUUUGUUUUCAGUUUAUUGAAACAGACUCCUUAUUUAUUAUCUUUCAAGCUCUUAUUCGUAGUAUUUCAUAGUAGUCCGUGAGUACUGUGAUACUAAAUCUUGGGUAGAGGAUGAUGUUAAUUUUUUCACAUAUUUCUUCCAAUUAAUAUUCAAUUAAGACUUCCAUUUGAAAUUAUUAUUUUUUUAGUUAUUAUUAGUUGUUGAAAAUUACUUGAAAAGGUAUGUUUAAGUUGGCUAGCUAGCUCCAAAGUAGGCACCAUCACUACUCCUAAUGGUGGGAAAUCUGGGUCGUCACAAGAUGAUAUCAGAGCACUAGGUUACUUGGGUCUCAGAACUCACGGACAAGCUCGGUAGAGUCUGAGGGAUCGGUACGGAGACGUCUUUUUUUAUCCCCUAGAGGCUACAGAGUUAGGAAAAUUUCCCUUUGUUCAUUGUCGUCGUGCGAUUUUGUUCCUCAAAUAUUUAUUGUUGUUCUACUCUAUUAUUUCGCAUAUGGCAAGAACACGUGCGUCUUCAUCCACCGCGCAGCAAGCCUAGCUCCCAGAAGCAGCUCUCGCGAUGGCAAGGGGUCGAGGUCGUGCCAGAGGCUGUAGUAGGGGCAGAGCUCUUCCCCAGGCAGUACUUCUUGAGAUGUAGCCUCAUAUUGACUUUGAUGAGGAGGUUCUAGCCCAAGCAGCUCCAGUGGGACAGCUGAGGUCCCAGGAGAGGUUAUGUUUCCCAUCUCCAGGAUGCUCUCGCUCGUAUAAUAGGCUUUAAGGACAAUGUUACUAGAGCGGGUCCGCUACCAGUAGCACCAGCCACUUCACAGGCUGGAGGAGGAGUUCAGACUCCUGCUACGAAUACUCCGGAGGAGGUAGCUCCCCAGACUCAGGUUCUAUUGGUUCAGCCCGUAGUGGCAGCUCAUACAGGUAUUACAGCUCAGGCCGGUGAUUGAGCAGUCAUGUCUUCCGAUGCUUUGUGGAGACUGGAUCGGUUCUCCAAGCUUUUCACCACCAACUUCAGCGAUGCUUCUACAAAGGACCCCUAGGACUUCAUAUGCAGCUAUCGUGAGGUCCUUCGGACCAUGGGUAUAUUAGAGACAAUUGGGGUGGACUUCGCCAGUUUUUUUCGGGCAGGAUCUACCUAGACUUGGUGAAGAGAUUUCUGUUUAGCCAGGCUAGCAGGGUUGCCAUCAUUGACCUGGGAUCAGUUUUCCGAGCUAUUUCUGGAGAAAAUUUUUCCCAAUUACUCAGAGGAUGUCUUUCGCAGCCAGUUUGAGCGCAUCUAGAAGGGCUCUAUGUCAGUUAUAUAGUAUGAGACUCGGUAUAUUGAUCUCGCACAUGAUGCUAUUGUGAUACUCCCCCUCGAGAGAGAUAGAGGGUACAGAGGUUUGUGGAUGGGUUGGUUCAGCCGAUCCGUGUCCAGAUGGUUAUGAGCGCCGGGAGUGAGAUUACAUUUUAAGAAGCGACGGAUGGCGCCUGCUGGAUAGAGAUGGCGCUUUCUUAGGGAGGUUUUCAGGGUUUUAAUAAGAGGCCUCGACAUUCUGGUAGAUUCAGUGGUACCUCAUCUAGAGUUAGAGACUCAUAUGACAGAGACCAUCCCCCGAGGCCUUUCCCGUCAGCCCUCCAGGCUUCUCAUGGUACUCCAAGCGGUCGCAGUUUUCAGUCGCAGUAUUCCGCCCAGCAGCUCUUCAGUUCACCAUCGGCGCCUAUCAGUGCACAGGCGCUUCGAUAUUCUCAGCACCCAAGGUCUUGCUUCACUUGCGGAGACCUGAAGUACAUCGCCAAGUAUUGCCCUCAAGCUUCCAGUAGUUCACAGCAGCAGGGUUCUCGUCCCAUGAUUCUAUCAGCAGGUGAUCUAUAGGUCGUGCAGCCAGCUAGAGGCGAGGGUAGAGGCCAUAAAGGUGGAGGUAGGGAGCAUAGAGGUGGAGAUCAGACCGCCAGAGGCAGGGGUCAGCCCGCAGCAGAUCGCCAUAGAGAUACAGUUCAGGGAAGAGGGGGUUAGCCCCAUUGUUAUGCUUUACUGGCGAAGCCGGAGGCCGACUCAUCUGAUGAUGUGAUCACGACUUCAAUUUUGGUUUGUAUGAGAUAUGCUUCAGUGUUGUUUGACCAUGGAUCUACAUAUUCAGAUGUAUUGUCUUAUUUUGCACCUUAUUUGGUUAUGCCUAGUGAGGCCUUGGGUAUUUCGGUAUAUGUGUCUACACCGGUGGGUGAUUCUGUAGUGGUCGACCGAGUGCAUUAUUCAUGAGUGGUAGUAUUUGAGGGUCUUUAGACCCCUAGCGACUUAUUUCUCUUAGAUAUGGUGGACGUUGACGUUUUAUUGGGGAUGGAUUAGUUGUCCCCGUGCCAUGCUAUUUUGGAUAGUAGCACAAACACAGUAACCUUGGCUUUACCCGAUUUGCUCCUUUUAGAGUGAAGAGGGAUUUUAGAUCAUCUGACCCGCAAUGUGAUAUCGUAUGCAAAGGCUCGACGCAUGGCUAAGAAGGGGUGUUUAGCUCAAUUUUGUAUGGUUGCAUCUCCAGCGCAGAAGUCCCUUCCAUUGGUGUCGUUCCUAUUAUUCGGGAGUUUCCACGUGAUUCUUCCUUCAGACCUACUAGGCAUGUUGCCUGACAGGGAUAUCGAUUGUUCGUACUGAUCUGGCGCUGGGCACUCAGCCUAUUUCUAUUUUGUCGUAUCGUAUAGCCCCACCAAAGUUGAAAGAGUUAGAGUAGUAGCUUCAGGAUUUGCUUGAUAAGGGUUUCAUUAGGCACAGAGUUUCACCUUGGGGCGCAACAGUGUUAUUGUGAAGAAAAAGGAUGGGUCGAUGAGAAUGUGCAUUGAUUACCAGCAGCAUUCACGGAGUUGAGGAACCGAGUGUUCGGGCGUAUUUGGAUUUGUUUUUGAUUGUAUGUAUUGACGACAUUUUGAUAUACUCGCGCUGUCAGGAGGAGCAUGAGCAACACCUUAGAGUGGUUCUUCAGGCUCUGAGGGAUAGUUAGUUGUACGCCAAGUUCUCUAUGUGUGAGUUUUUGUUGAGUUCAGUCGCAUUCCUGGGUAAUUUCGUAUCAGCAGAGGGUAUACAGGUGGACUCGAACAAGAUAGAGGCAGUCAAGAACUGGCCUCGACCAGCUUCAUCUACAGAGAUCCGGAGCUUCUUGGGGUUAGCUUGUUACUACAGACGUUUCGUUGAGGGAUUUUCAUCCAUCGCAUCCCCGACGACUAGAUCGAGCCAGAAGGGUGCCCAGUUCAGGUGGUUAGAUGAGUGCUAGGCGAGCUUCCAGAAGCUCAAGACAGCUCUGACUAUGGCACGGAUAUUGGUUUUUCCCACGAGAUCUGGGCCUUAUAUUAUUUAUUGUGAUGCUUCCCGCAUCGGGCUUGGCACAGUGUUGAUGUAGAAUGGCAAGGUCAUAGCAUAUGCUUCGAGGUAGUUAAAAAUCCAUGAGAAGAAUUAUCUAGUUCAUGACCUAGAGUUGCUAGCCAUUGUUCAUCCCUUGAAUAUCUGGAGGCAUUAUUUAUAUGGUGUGACGUGUGAGGUGUACACGAAACACAAAAGCCUUCAGUACUUCUUCAAACAGAAAGAGCUGAAUAUAAGACAGCAGAGGUGGUUGGAGUUGUUGAAGGACUAUGAUUUUUCUAUCAUAUACCACCCGGGGAAGGCCAAUGUGGUGACCGAUGCAUUUAGUAGGAAGUCCUCCAGCAUGGGUAGUCUUGCCUAUAUUCCGGUCAACCAGAGACCGCUUGCCUUGGAUGUUCAGGCCUUAGCCAAUAGAUUUGUGAGAUUGGAUAUUUCUGAGCCCAGCAGAGUGUUAGCUUGCACGGUUGCUCGUUUGUCAUUGAUGGAGCGUAUCCGGGAGUGGCAGUUUGAUGAUCCCCAUUUAUGUGUCUUGAGAGACACAGUGCAGAGGGGAGGUGCCAAGGAGAUUACUUUGGGAGGUGAUGGCAUAUUGAGGUUGCAGGGGCGAGUUUGCGUGCCCAAUAUUGAUGGUAUUCGAGAGUCCAUCUUAGCGAGGCCCACAACUCUCGGUAUUCUAUUCAUCUGGGUGUCGUGAAUAUGUAUCAAGAUUUGAGAUAGCAUUAUUGGUGGCAUAGAAUAAAGAAAGACAUUGUUGCGUAUGUGGCUCGUUGUCUAAAUUGUCAGCAGGUUAAGUGCGAGCAUCAGAUGCCUGGUGGGUUAUUUCAAAGGAUUCAGCUUCCCGAGUGGAAGUGGGAGAGGAUCACUAUGGAUUUUGUUACUGGCCUUUCGAUGACUCGGAAGAAGUUUGAUAGGUGUUAGCUUGCAUGGUUGCUCGUUCGUCGUUGAUAGAGCGUAUUCGAGAGCGAUAGUUUGAUAACCCCCAUUUUUGCGUCUUGAGGGACACAGUACAACAGGUAGGUGCCAAGAAAAUGACCUUGGGAGGUGAUGGUGUAUUGAGAUUGCAGGGGCAAGUCUGUGUGCCUAAUGUUGAUGGUAUUUGGGAGUCGAUCUUAGCGGAGGCCCACAACUCUUGGUAUUCUAUUCACACAGGCACCGCGAAGAUGUAUCAAGAUUUGAGAAAGCAUUAUUGGUGGCGCAAGAUGAAGAAAAAAAUUGUUUUAUAUGUGGCUCAUUGUCUGAAUUGUCACCAGGUUAAGUACGAGCAUCAGAGGCCCGUGAGUUUUUCAGAUUAUUGAGCCUCCCGAGUGGAAGUGGAAGAGAAUCACCAUGGACUUUGUUACUAGCCUUUCGAUGACUCGGAAGAAGUUUGAUGCUAUAUGGGUUAUUGCUGAUUGGCUGACCAAGUCAGUGCACUUUAUUCCAGUUGCCACCACCUAUUCAUCCGAGAGAUAUGCUGAUAUUUAUAUCAGGGAGAUCGUUCGCCUUCAUAGGGUGCCCAAAAUAAUUAUUUCGGAUCGGGGUCUGCAAUUUACCUUGCAUUUCUGGAGAGCGGUACAGCAUGAGUUGGGCACCCAGGUCCAGUUAAGUAUAACAUUUUACCCCAGACGGACGGUCAGUUCAAGAGGACACCAAUUUCAAUCAAUUUUCUCUCUCUAAAAUCCUCUCCCUUCUCUCUUGGAAGAAUGGUGAAUAGUAAUUCUGUCACUAUUCAUCUUUCACAUCUCCGUAUUUUGGCGGUGGAUUGUCACAAAUUGGGUGUCACACGAUCCCCCUCUCUUUGCGAACAAUCCCCAAUUGAUUGUUUCCUCAAAUCCAUAACAAAUUUUCCUACAUCUUAAAUCUUAUAUUCAUCGAUAUAAUGUAGCUCCCUCAAAUUCUAGCGUUGUUUCCUAUGGCUACUAUUGUUGCGAUGAAUUCUGCUUGACGUAUAAGACAGUUAUGGAAGCAUCGCCCUCUCCCCAGCCUUGUGCUGUGGGAGAGUAUAUUCAAAACAAUACUGAAAAUAAAUCUCACGUUUUCAAACAAUCAUAUGCAUCGCAUUUUGCUGGGCAACAAUCUGCCGCAACAAACUCAAAACUAGAACUAUGUCCUGUCAUGUUUGACCAAGUAAUUCCAACUGUCGAAUUCACAGUAGAUGAAAUGAAUUCAUUCACCAGGGAUGAAGGUCUUCAACAAGCAGUUGUAAUUAAAUUUUCAUAUGGAAAGCCUGAACUUCAGGAGCUGAGACAGAUUUUGCCGAAGCAGUUAGAUGUCAAAGGUCAUUGUAACAUUGGACAGCUAGAAUAUCGGCAUAUCCUGGUAAUAUUCGAUCUAUUUGAAGAUUUUUCUAAUGUGGUAUCAAGAACAACAGGGUAUUUUAAGGCAAAAGGGGAUGAGUUCUUCUUUAGGACAUUCCCGUGGACAACGGGAUUUAACCCCCGAGAAGAAACAUCGAAAGUUGUGGUUUGGAUAUCUUUUCCUGAGCUGCCAGCAAACUUUUUCGUGAAAACAUCUUUAAUGUCCAUUGCAUCUGCAGUGGGAAAGCUUAUUGCAGUAGAUAAGGCUAUUAAAGAUCGAACGCGACCUAGUACGGCACGAGUUAAAGUCUUGAUUAAUUUACUAGACAAAUAUCCAAAAAAAAUCAAGAUCAAAUAGUAGAUAUGAAUUCUUGAAAAAUAGUUGAAUAGGACCAGCAGAUCGUGUUUGAUAAUUUACCUAAAUACUGCACGCAUUGUAAUCAUCAAGGUCAUUAUGUAAAAUUUUGUCGUUGGAAGGCAGAGGAUUUUAAUGAACAUACUGUUCAUGUUCAAGAAUUUGAAGCACGGGGUAGUUUGGCUAAAUUAAGAGGGGACGCAAGGGAAUACUUGAAUGCUAAUUUUGCAGGAUGUCGUAUUGAAGGAGUUCAACCUAAUGUGAUAUAUAAUACAACACAAAAGUUGGUUUCUGCUUCCUUUGGUCCAGUAACAGUAGCUCAUUCAAGGCCAAAUGAUAUUAUUGCAAAGAUUUUUCAAGUGCCAUCUACUAUUCCAUCGAAUGCUCCUUUGAGAGUUUUAUCUGAAAAUUUGGUGUCAAAUUUAAAUCCCACUGAUGCACCUGUUGUGGUAGCAUCUCACAGUCCAAAAAUGAAUGAACUGAUUUUCAGUGAGCAGCAGCAGGUAUUGCAGAUUGAUAACAAAAAAAACGUCUUUGUUUGGUCAAGGAAAUGGUCCAAAUUUGGAGGCCUUGGAUUCUUUCAAAGGUUCUUCAGAUCUUUCUCAUACAGCGGUUCAACUAGAGGACAAUUCAGUACCAAAUCUACUUGAUGCUUCAAAAGUGCCUGGACAACAAGGAUGUUAUGAUUUUAAUAAAGAAACAUCUUUGGGUACUUCUAAGCAUACCGACUCAACUGAAAUAUGCAAAGGACAGCAGGUCAAGUCCAAUGUGCAACAGUUAGUAGCAGGGGAGGUAAAUGUACCAGCUAGUGUACAUUCAAUUUUUAAGCCAAAUAUUGCUUUGGAUGGCUUUAAAUGGACUGCAUAAAAGGAAGAGGUGAAUGAUCAAUCCCCUUUACACUCAAGGGAUAGAUAGAGGAACGAACGGAAUGAGUUGAACUUGAACUGAAAAAAAAAGAAAAGAUACGGAAUAGGGAUUCGUCUCACUACGUUCAACUCAUUUCGUUUCACUCAAAGCUUGAAAAAGAACAGAAUAGGGAUUCGUUGAACUAUGUUCAACUCAUUCAGUUGAACUCAAAUAGACGUAUCUAACAGGUAUCAACUCAACACCCUAACCGGAAAGGGCAAAAGCAGCGACCUUGAACUAUGUUCAACUCAUUCAGUUGAACACAAAUAGACGUAUCUAACAGGUAUCAAUUCAACACCCUAACCGGAAAGGGAAAAAGCAUCGACUUUGCCGUAUUGAAUCAUUAUGUGAUGUUAUGGAAUUGGAGUUUGCAGCAUCUGUUACAAAGGGUAACAAGUGUACCAAUUGGUUAAUGCAUAAUGACACAACUGUUGCAGCCUCUAUUUUUUCUAAACUACACUCUUCACUUCCUUCGCAUUGUACUGUUGAUCGAGCAGUUCCUGUCAAUGAUAACCUCUAUGCUGUGAGUGAAAUUCUUCAAUUAACAGAAAACCAUUCAGAUGAUGAUGUUGUGCAGAAAUUAUUUCGUUAAGAUACCUAUAACCACCAUGAUAUGGCUCAACAAGUCAGUGUCUCUAUCUCUACACGUCCAGUUGAUGCAAAAAUGUAUCUAAUGUUGCCUUAGUGCAAGUAACUCCAAAAUCCAAAACAAAGCUGCAGAUUGCAGAAAAUAGUCCAGCAGCUUUACAUACAGAUUCAAACUCUUUUGCUGCACUUGCCAAUGUGAAUGAUGAGGAUAGAAAGCUCAAUGCAGAGAAUUUGCAGAUGAUUGACUGUUAUUAUUAAAAUAGCUCCGCGACCUCAGAGACUUUGAAUAAAGCUACUGCUAAUGAUACAAAUUUGAAAAUAAAGGCCAAAGAACAUAAUUCUCCCUCCAUUACCAUCUCCAGUCCUCAUGUGGAGAAUACCAUCAAACAUUAUGGAGAAGCUUUAAUCUCCACUGGAACUAAUAAAGAACUAAUCCAACAAAACAUGAGGGACAUGGUCAUUAAAUCGAAACUAUGGAAAGACCAACGAGAUUUUGAUGAUGAAGAAGGAUGGGGAGUCGGACUUGCAAGUUUUUCAUCUGAAGAAGAAGAGCAAGUGGUUGAUCAGGAUAGUGCAGGAGAGGACAUGGAUGCUCCAGUCAAGCAAAAAUUUCAAGGGAAAAUGCAACAAAGAACUGUCGUGCAAUUCUGCAACCAACAGCAAGUCCAAACAGCAACUUGAACCAUAAUGCUCCAGUUUUUUUUUCCAAGAAAUACUGCAAAAGAAGUCAUUCCAAAUGCAACAACAACAAAUUUCGACCAUAAAGAACUCAUAAUGUUCAACUAAACCAAUGCACACGCGAAACAGCGGCUGAUGAUCGAAACGAAAUAGCGUUGCAUGCAACUGUCCAGAAUUUGACUGUAACAACGAAUCCAUUCAUUAAUUUGGAGGAGAGGAAUACAAAACAGCAGCAGCAAAGGAAUGCAAUUCCACAAUCUAAUUUUCCUUCUUCUGAUAGCAUCACAGUAGCAUCCUUACAGCCAAAGUAGCACCACAUAGUAACAACUGCUGCAAAAAUAUCUGUAGAGGAAAGAAAACUCUUGGAUGCGAUGGUAAGUACAGAUCCUACUACUACUCAUGGUAACUGUAGUAGGAACAAAUCACAAAUACAACUACAAAACAAGGCAGUUUUGGGUAAUGUACAAUUAUUAACGCAAGGCGACUUUCAACAAAUGCAAAAUCCUAUUUUGGCAGGAAGAAAAUUAUAUGAAGAAGGGGAGGAAGAGGAUAUAUUCAAGAAAUGCAGCGCAGACGCUUCAAGAAAAGGUGAUUUGUCACCAAUGCAUAGUGCAAGAAGUAAGAAGUCUCAUCAAAGGGAUCGAAGCUGGGAUGGGAGAAGUUUUGAAGAUGCAAACAUAAGGAACCCCCUAAUGAGAAAUGCAAAGCAAAAAUAGGUCACUCAAGAAUGCUUACAAAGUCACAACGCUCGAAGAUCAAAUAAUGAAUUUUUGAAGUCUUUUUGAAAAAAAUUGUGGACGAAGACAACAUACUACAAAUUGAAGUUUUUGCAAUAAUAGAGAAAAGAGAGCUCCUUUAUGGCUUUUUCUUCUUUUUAUUGUACUAUCACAUUAGUAUUAUUCUUUGUAAUAUCAUCACAGAGUAUGUUAUUAACUCUCAGAUGAUCAUAUAUAUCUUUUUAUUGUACCAUCACAUUAGUAUUAUUCUAUGUAAUAUUACCACAUAGCAUGUUAUAAACUAUGUGAUAAUCAUAUAUUUCUUAGUUCUUGCUAGUUCUUUCUUUUUACAUGCUUGCUAGUUCAUGAGGCUAAUUGUUUGCCUCAAUAGGAUUAGAAAGGUAAGGUGUACGCCAGUUGUGUUAUAUGGGUAACAAUACCGGUGCUAUUGUCCCCCUUAUUUUACUUUUCCUACUUGUUGUAAUUUUCAAUUUCCUAUUUUUAAUGAAAUAUAGCCCUAGGCUCUUGCCUAGUGGACUACCCAAAAAAAAGUUCGAGAGGACUAUUCAAAUUCUUGAGGAUAUGCUUCGAGCCUGCUUUAUUGAUGUUGGAGGCUCGUGGGAUCAGUUCUUGCCUUUAGAAGAGUUUGCCUACAACAAUAGCUACCAGUUCAAUAUUCAAAUGUCUUUGUAUGAUGAGUUGUAUGGUAGGCGACGUCGGUCACCCGUCGGAUGGUUUGAGCCGAGAGAGGCUCGGCUAUUUUGUACAGCUCUAGUACAGAUUCUUUGGAUAAGUUCAAGAUCUUUCAGGACAGACUUCUGUCAGCUCAGUCUAGGCAAAAGAGGUAUGCAGAUAGUAAAUCAGGGAAGUUGCUUUCAUGGUUGGUGAGCGAGUAUUGCUUCGGGUAUUUCCUAUGAAGGGCGUGAUGAUAUUCGGAAAGAAGGGUAAGCUUAGCCCUAGGUUUAUUGGCCCAUUUGAGAUUCUUGAUCACAUGGGGAAGGUGGCUUAUAGACUUGCCUUGCCGCAUAGCUUAUCAAUCGUGCAUCCGGUUUUUUUCACGUAUCCAUGCUUCGGAGGUAUCACGGCGAUCCCGCCCACGUGUUAGAUUUCAAUACUAUUCAAUUGGACAAGGAUCUUUCAUAUGAGGAGGAGUUGGUGGCUAUUUUAGACUGGCAGGUUCGACAGUUGAGGUCGCCGAGUUUUCCUUCUGUGCGUGUUCAGUGGAGAAGUCAGCCUCCCGAGGCAUCGACCUGGGUGUUCGAGUCCGAUAUGCGGAGCCGUUAUCCCCAUCUAUUCCCCGACUCGGGUACUUUUUCUUUUGUCCAUUUGAGGAAAAACAGCUAUUUUAGAGGUGGAGGAUGUGACGACCCAAAGGGUCAUCACUGUAAUUCUCCCUUUAUUUGUGCUUCCUAAGCCUUGAAAACCUCUGAUUUGGACGCCUCAAUUUGCGUGUGCAGUCCGGGCGCGAAGCCUAAUAUUUUUUAUGUGGAAAUAUAUAGUGGACUUUGUUCAACAUUUUGGGUAAAAGGACUCGAAUCCGUGAUGCGAUGGUCCCGAAGGGUUCGUAGAAAAAUAUGGGACCCGAGCGUAUUCCCGGAAUUGAAAUCCGAGGUCCGAGUAUGGAAUUUUUGAAAGAAAUUGUUAUCUGGAAAUGAUAUGAAAUACAAUUGAAAUGAAAAUGAGUUAGAAAAUAUAGGUAUCUGGCUCAUAUUUUGGUCCCGACGCCCGAUACAGGUCUUAAUUGAGCGUUAAGCGCUUUCUGUGAAGUUUGAUUGAAAACGAACGUCAUUUGAUGUGUUUUGCACUAAAAAUGGAAAAUUUGGAAGUUAUGAACUUUUAAAUGAAAAUUAUAUGUUUUGAGGUUUGAUUCUAUGUAAGUGAUGUGAUUUUGGCGAAUUGGCCGCACUAGUAAGUCCGUAGGAUAUUCCUGAGUUACUGUGCCUGUCUGGUUUGGAGCCCCGAGCGCUCAGAUGAGUUUUGAUGAGAGAGGUAUUAGGCUUAAAGAAAUGAAGGUUCAGGUAUUGCAGACACUAACGCGGCUGCAGCCAUUUCUGUGUAGUCUGUGCUUGAGCCAUGCGGCCGCGAGGCACUUCUGUGCGGUUUGCGUGGCUGAAUCGUGCUGAGUGCUGGUUAACCAGCGUGGCCGCACACCAAAUCAAUGCGGUCCGCACUGGGUCGUUUCAGAUGAGCACAAGUUUCGAUUCCAUUCGACGCGGCCACAGAACAUUUUUUUGCGGUCCGUGUCUGGUCAUCAGAGAGGUAUAAAAAUUCAAAAAUUUCAGCCGUUUUUCAACAUUUCAAAAACCCAAAACCUAAGUAGCGAUUUUCCAAACAACUUUUCUUCUCAAAAUGAUUUUUAAGUGAUUUCUAACUUAAUUUUCCUACUCCUUCGAAUCUAUUAUCAUAAUUUCAACUUCAAUCAAAGGAUUUCACAAAUAAGAAUUUGGGAUUUGGGGUAGAACCUAGGUUUUCUUAAAAUUGGGUAUUUGGACCUCAAUUUGGAGUCCGAUUACAAAAAAUAUUACAUAUAUGAACUCGUGGGGGAAUGGGUAGCCCGGUUUUGCUUCGAACCUUGGGUUUUGACCACGUGGGCCCAGGUGCAUUUUGGGAAUUUUUGGGUAAAUCAUUGGGAAAUUCGUUCUUAUGCAUUCAAAUUGUUUUAACUAGCAUUUGUUGAUACAUUUGAGUAAGUUGUGAUUAGAUUCGACCGGUUUUUUGGCAAAUUCAAGGGAUAAAGCUAUCCUAAAGGCGUGAGUUAAGUUUGGAGCUUUCGAGGUAAGUGCUUGAUCUAACUUUGGUUUGAGGGAAUAGGAUUAGAGUGUUUGAUUGCUAAUUGUUAAAUGAUCAAGUACGGUGUAUACGCAUGGUGACGAUUAUCUAUUCAUCGGUGUCUAGUAUGAUCGUGAGUCGUAAAUGCCUUUGAGUCGGAAGAUAUGAUAUAGUUGUCUUGAUAAGUUGAUAGUUCCAUGUAAAGUGUUGGUUAAGAACGAAAUGAAUUAAAAGAGUUUGUCAAUGGUUCCUUUUCCGGGACGAGUAGGCUGCUACUAUUAAAUUCUCCGUUGUUGGGAUAUUUUGGGCCGUUAGUUGUACCCUUGCCUGGUUUAAUUGUUAUAUUGUUGUUCUUCCCUAAUGGGACCUCCCUUGAGAAGAUUAUUCGAGAUAGUCAAUUAUAAUAAGGGUUCGUGUGGCGCGCCGUCCACUUAUAUAUUAUAUUACGGGAUUGUCUAGCACUCCGUCCACUUAUUAUUAAUGGCCUGAGAUGCUGGUGACAUUGUACAAAGAAUACGAGAUCAUGUGGCGCGCCUUCCACUUAUAUAUUAUAUUACGGGAUCCUGUUGCGCGCCGUCCACCUAUUUAUUACAUUACGGGAUCGUGUGGUGCGCCAUCCACCUAUAUAUUACAUUACGAGAUCGUGUGGCGCGUCGUCCUCUUAUAUAUUACAUAACAGGAUCGUGUGGCGCACCGACCACUUAGACUAUACAUUAUGGGGUCGUGUGACGCGUCGUCCACUGUAUAUAUGGGUAUCACAAAAACCCGGGAUAGAUCUUCUAUUGUUUCUGAUGUUCCAUUUUCAUCUAGUGCUUCCCGAUAGCAUGUCCCCUCCCAGCUUUACUUGUAUUAUUUUGUUAUUGUUUUUUUCCCGUACUUGUAUUUCAUAUUUGCACAGGUUAAUUUUAGUAGGUCCUGUCUAGGCUUGUCACUACUUCGCCGGGGUUAGGCCAGGCAAUUACCAGCAUAUUGGGUCGGUUGUGUUGAUGCUACACUUCUGCGCCCUUUUAUGCACAAGUCAGGAGACAGUUUACGGACUACACCAGUAGCUUGGGAGCGCGCCUUCAGUCCAGAGACUCCUAGGUAGUUCGCAGGCCCUGAGUCUCUUCUUUUUCAUUUCCGUUUGUUUUCGUUGCAUCGAAACAGACUCCUUGUGUAUUAUGUUAAUUUCAUAGUAGUCCAUGAGUACUAUGACACUAAAUCUUGGGUAGAGGAUUAUGUUAAUUUUUCCGCAUAUUUCUUCCAAUUAAUUAUAAUUAAGACUUCUGUUUGAAAUUAAUAUUUUUUUAUUAUUAUUAUUAUUGGUUGAAAAUUAGUUGAAAAGGUAUGUUUAAGUUGGCUUGCCUAGCUCCGACAGUAGGCGCCAUCACGUCUCCUGAUAGUGGGAAAUCCAGGUCACAAGCUCUCAUUUAAGGACUAAGUGUCCUAAAACACUCUGAAUUCUAACACCGAAUGUCCCGACAAACUAAAAUAGCAUAAAUGAACUUAACUGAAGCAGUUAAUGUGGAAACAAGGCUUAAAUUCCAAAUACGGCCAGAUGGGUCGUCAUAUAACCAAUUCGAUCAACAAAUAAACCAUUACAAACUAUUAGUCUAACUGAUUGAGAAUAGAAAUCAAGCUAAACCAGAACACAUUUAAAAGACAACAAACAAAUUAAACUAAUCGGAACGAAUAGAUAACAUAUGAUGAUUAAACUAAAAACCAAAACCAAUCAAACCCUAAACAUUAACUAACCAUGCAAACUAUUUACUGUCACAAUUAUUCCAAUACUCUGAUUGUAUCCUCAUGCCAGCAAGAAAAACAAAGACAGAAUAGUGACUAAAAAAAGAAAAGGAAAAGGAAAGGAAUGGACAUACUAAAAAAAAGCUCGGCCAAUUCAAUAAUUCUCUAAUUCAACCAUUCCCGGUGAAAUUCGAGAUCCAUUGACACUAAAUUCCUUACGAGGGCAGCCUAGGAACCCUAUCGUAUUCAUUUGAUAAGGAUUGGUUUAUUUAGGGUUUGGUCGGAAAACCCAAAAAUCCAAAUUCGAAGAAUUAUAGAAUGAUUCGAACGAAACCAAUUGGUGUUUUAGGAUAAGAGUGGUAAGGAGAAUCGGUGGUGUGAGUUUGGAGGGAUUUGGACAAAGUGGCGUCGUGGUCGGAAACUUUUCUAAUGAAGAUUCGAAGAAAUCCGACCAGAUUCGAGAGAAGUCAAGGGUGGGAAUGAGAAGAGGAGAGCAAGGAGGGUUGGUGGUGUAAAUUUGGUAACCAUUGGCAUAAGUGGUGUUGACUGCUGGUGGCGGCUCCAGCGGUGUUACAAUCUCUAGUACGAUGAAAAUGAGAUUAUGUAUUAUGGUU